UACAUGAGGGACAAGCAUUAUCCGCAAUUAUUGGGUGUAAGGGAUGCGUAGAUGGUUUAUAAAGUUUAUAUCAACUAAAAAAAGCAAAUAUUUGAGUCUCAUAAAAACUAUAAACUUGAGUAUAGUAGAAGUAAAUAUAAUUUAUAAAUGAGCGAUAAAAUGCGAAAAAUUUAUAAUUUAUACCAAAGGUGAAAACAAUUUACUAUACUAAACUGACAUUGAGGCAUGAAAGUAUAGCGAGCGAACAGG
rnacentral:rRNA from 1 species